rnacentral:tRNA from 1 species
CAAAUUAGAGCUUGAUAGAAAGCAUUUUAUUUACAUUAAAAGGUUAGUUGUGAGAAUCAAUUUAAUUUGA